rnacentral:rRNA from 1 species
CCUACGGGGGGCAGCAGUGAGGAAUAUUGGUCAAUGGACGAGAGUCUGAACCAGCCAAGUAGCGUGAAGGAUGACUGCCCUAUGGGUUGUAAACUUCUUUUAUAUGGGAAUAAAAUGUUCCACGUGUGGGAUUUUGUAUGUACCAUAUGAAUAAGGAUCGGCUAACUCCGUGCCAGCAGCCGCGGUAAUACGGAGGAUCCGAGCGUUAUCCGGAUUUAUUGGGUUUAAAGGGAGCGUAGGUGGUUUGUUAAGUCAGUUGUGAAAGUUUGCGGCUCAACCGUAAAAUUGCAGUUGAAACUGGCAGUCUUGAGUACAGUAGAGGUAGGCGGAAUUCGUGGUGUAGCGGUGAAAUGCAUAGAUAUCACGAAGAACUCCGAUUGCGAAGGCAGCUCGCUGGACUGCGACUGACACUGAGGCUCGAAAGUGUGGGUAUCAAACAGGAUUAGAUACCCGAGUAGUC